GCGUUGCAUGGGCGGGGUCGUGGGACCAGCCAUUCCAGUUCUGCCGGGCUGGAGGAGUGAGGUGCGGGUGCAUAGGCGAACCGGUUUGAAGGCCGGACCAUAGGGGGUGUUAGUCCCGUAGCCGUAAUGUUCUCCGCCGCUUUGUGUUGGCAUCCCAAGUAGCACGGGGCCCGAGAAAUCCCGUGUGAAUCUGUCAGGACCACCUGAUAAGCCUAAAUACUCCCAGAUGACCGAUAGCGGACAAGUACCGUGAGGGAAAGGUGAAAAGUACCCCGGGAGGGGAGUGAAAUAGUACCUGAAACCGUGCGCUUACAAUCCGUUAGAGCAUGACCCUUGUGGUUGUGUGAUGGCGUGCCUUUUGAAGAAUGAGCCUGCGAGUUAGUGAUAUGUGGCGAGGUUAACCCGUGUGGGGUAGCCGUAGCGAAAGCGAGUCUUAAUAGGGCGAUCGAGUCGCAUGUU
rnacentral:rRNA from 1 species